GUCGUAACAAGGUUUCCGUAGGUGAACCUGCGGAAGGAUCAUUACCACACCGAUCCACGAUCUUUCUUUUUCCGCGAAUGGAUUUGUUGGAGUUUUGCUGUUGUGUAUUGCGACGGUGAGCUCGAAUGAAUUAAAUAAUAAUUGGGCGUCGUCGUUGUGAAACUUGAUUGUUUAAAUACGACGGCGUUCUUACCACCAUUUCUAUUUUUGAAAUAAAAUCACGAGACUGCCAGUCAAAAACUGAAACAAAAAGGGAGACGAAGCGUCGCAAUAUUAUUUAUUUGCAGCGCCUCGACUCUCUAAACAAAACCGAAUUGAUUGAUUCACAACUUUCAGCAACGGAUGUCUAGGUUCCCA
rnacentral:misc_RNA from 1 species